UACGGAGGGUGCGAGCGUUAAUCGGAAUUACUGGGCGUAAAGCGCACGUAGGCGGUCAGGCAAGUCGGGUGUGAAAGCCCUGGGCUCAACCUGGGAAUUGCAUUCGAAACUAUCUGACUCGAGUAUGGGAGAGGGAAGCGGAAUUUCCGGUGUAGCGGUGAAAUGCGUAGAUAUCGGAAGGAACACCAGUGGCGAAGGCGGCUUCCUGGACUAAUACUGACGCUGAGGUGCGAAAGCGUGGGGAGCAAACAGGG
rnacentral:rRNA from 1 species